GAUGAACGCUGGCGGCGUGCCUAAUACAUGCAAGUCGAGCGAACAGACGAGGAGCUUGCUCCUCUGACGUUAGCGGCGGACGGGUGAGUAACACGUGGAUAACCUACCUAUAAGACUGGGAUAACUUCGGGAAACCGGAGCUAAUACCGGAUAAUAUAUUGAACCGCAUGGUUCAAUAGUGAAAGACGGUUUUGCUGUCACUUAUAGAUGGAUCCGCGCCGCAUGAGCUAGUUGGUAAGGUAAAGGCUUACCAAGGCAACGAUGCGUAGCCGACCUGAGAGGGGGAUCGGCCACACUGGAACUGAGACACGGUCCAGACUCCUACGGGAGGCAGCAGUAGGGAAUCUUCCGCAAUGGGCGAAAGCCUGACGGAGCAACGCCGCGUGAGUGAUGAAGGUCUUCGGAUCGUAAAGCUCUGUUAUUAGGGAAGAACAAAUGUGUAAGUAACUAUGCACGUCUUGACGGUACCUAAUCAGAAAGCCACGGCUAACUACGUG
rnacentral:rRNA from 1 species